rnacentral:rRNA from 1 species
GCAGUCGAGCGACUGAUUAGAAGCUUGCUUCUAUGACGUUAGCGGCGGACGGGUGAGUAACACGUGGGCAACCUGCCUGUAAGACUGGGAUAACUUCGGGAAACCGAAGCUAAUACCGGAUAGGAUCUUCUCCUUCAUGGGAGAUGAUUGAAAGAUGGUUUCGGCUAUCACUUACAGAUGGGCCCGCGGUGCAUUAGCUAGUUGGUGAGGUAACGGCUCACCAAGGCAACGAUGCAUAGCCGACCUGAGAGGGUGAUCGGCCACACUGGGACUGAGACACGGCCCAGACUCCUACGGGAGGCAGCAGUAGGGAAUCUUCCGCAAUGGACGAAAGUCUGACGGAGCAACGCCGCGUGAGUGAUGAAGGCUUUCGGGUCGUAAAACUCUGUUGUUAGGGAAGAACAAGUACGAGAGUAACUGCUCGUACCUUGACGGUACCUAACCAGAAAGCCACGGCUAACUACGUGCCAGCAGCCGCGGUAAUACGUAGGUGGCAAGCGUUAUCCGGAAUUAUUGGGCGUAAAGCGCGCGCAGGCGGUUUCUUAAGUCUGAUGUGAAAGCCCACGGCUCAACCGUGGAGGGUCAUUGGAAACUGGGGAACUUGAGUGCAGAAGAGAAAAGCGGAAUUCCACGUGUAGCGGUGAAAUGCGUAGAGAUGUGGAGGAACACC